ACACGGCCCAAACUCCUACGGGAGGCAGCAGUAGGGAAUCUUCCACAAUGGACGCAAGUCUGAUGGAGCAACGCCGCGUGAGUGAAGAAGGUUUUCGGAUCGUAAAGCUCUGUUGUUGGUGAAGAAGGAUAGAGGCAGUAACUGGUCUUUAUUUGACGGUAAUCAACCAGAAAGUCACGGCUAACUACGUGCCAGCAGCCGCGGUAAUACGUAGGUGGCAAGCGUUGUCCGGAUUUAUUGGGCGUAAAGCGAGCGCAGGCGGAAUGAUAAGUCUGAUGUAAGCCCACGGCUCAACCGUGGAACUGCAUCGGAAACUGUCAUUCUUGAGUGCAGAAGAGGAGAGUGGAAUUCCAUGUGUAGCGGUGGAAUGCGUAGAUAUAUGGAAGAACACCAGUGGCGAAGGCGGCUCUCUGGUCUGCAACUGACGCUGAGGCUCGAAAGCAUGGGUAGCGAACAGGAUUAGAUACCCUGGUAGUCCAUGCCGUAAACGAUGAGCGCUAGGUGUUGGGGACUUUCCGGUCCUCAGUGCCGCAGCAAACGCAUUAAGCGCUCCGCCUGGGGAGUACGACCGCAAGGUUGAAACUCAAAGGAAUUGACGGGGGCCCGCACAAGCGGUGGAGCAUGUGGUUUAAUUCGAAGCAACGCGAAGAACCUUACCAGGUCUUGACAUCCUGUGCUACACCUAGAGAUAGGUGGUUCCCUUCGGGGACGCAGAGACAGGUGGUGCAUGGCUGUCGUCAGCUCGUGUCGUGAGAUGUUGGGUUAAGUCCCGCAACGAGCGCAAC
rnacentral:rRNA from 1 species